GAUGAACGCUGGCGGCGUGCCUAAUACAUGCAAGUCGAGCGAACAGACGAGGAGCUUGCUCCUUUGACGUUAGCGGCGGACGGGUGAGUAACACGUGGGUAACCUACCUAUAAGACUGGGAUAACUUCGGGAAACCGGAGCUAAUACCGGAUAAUAUUUCGAACCGCAUGGUUCGAUAGUGAAAGAUGGCUUUGCUAUCACUUAUAGAUGGACCUGCGCCGUAUUAGCUAGUUGGUAAGGUAACGGCUUACCAAGGCAACGAUACGUAGCCGACCUGAGAGGGUGAUCGGCCACACUGGAACUGGGACACGGUCCAGACUCCUACGGGAGGCAGCAGUAGGGAAUCUUCCGCAAUGGGCGAAAGCCUGACGGAGCAACGCCGCGUGAGUGAUGAAGGUCUUCGGAUCGUAAAACUCUGUUAUUAGGGAAGAAUAAACGUGUAAGUAACUGUGCACGUCUUGACGGUACCUAAUCAGAAAGCCACGGCUAACUACGUG
rnacentral:rRNA from 1 species